rnacentral:rRNA from 1 species
GACGAACGCUGGCGGCGUGCUUAACACAUGCAAGUCGAACGGAAAGGCCCUGCUUUUGUGGGGUGCUCGAGUGGCGAACGGGUGAGUAACACGUGAGUAACCUGCCCUUGACUUUGGGAUAACUUCAGGAAACUGGGGCUAAUACCGGAUAGGAGCUCCUGCUGCAUGGUGGGGGUUGGAAAGUUUCGGCGGUUGGGGAUGGACUCGCGGCUUAUCAGCUUGUUGGUGGGGUAGUGGCUUACCAAGGCUUUGACGGGUAGCCGGCCUGAGAGGGUGACCGGCCACAUUGGGACUGAGAUACGGCCCAGACUCCUACGGGAGGCAGCAGUGGGGAAUAUUGCACAAUGGGCGGAAGCCUGAUGCAGCAACGCCGCGUGCGAGAUGACGGCCUUCGGGUUGUAAACCGCUUUCGCCUGUGACGAAGCGUGAGUGACGGUAAUGGGUAAAGAAGCACCGGCUAACUACGUGCCAGCAGCCGCGGUGAUACGUAGGGUGCGAGCGUUGUCCGGAUUUAUUGGGCGUAAAGGGCUCGUAGGUGGUUGAUCGCGUCGGAAGUGUAAUCUUGGGGCUUAACCCUGAGCGUGCUUUCGAUACGGGUUGACUUGAGGAAGGUAGGGGAGAAUGGAAUUCCUGGUGGAGCGGUGGAAUGCGCAGAUAUCAGGAGGAACACCAGUGGCGAAGGCGGUUCUCUGGGCCUUUCCUGACGCUGAGGAGCGAAAGCGUGGGGAGCGAACAGGCUUAGAUACCCUGGUAGUCCACGCUGUAAACGGUGGGUACUAGGUGUGGGGUCCAUUCCACGGGUUCCGUGCCGUAGCUAACGCUUUAAGUACCCCGCCUGGGGAGUACGGCCGCAAGGCUAAAACUCAAAGGAAUUGACGGGGCCCCGCACAAGCGGCGGAGCAUGCGGAUUAAUUCGAUGCAACGCGUAGAACCUUACCUGGGUUUGACAUGGAUCGGGAGUGCUCAGAGAUGGGUGUGCCUCUUUUGGGGUCGGUUCACAGGUGGUGCAUGGCUGUCGUCAGCUCGUGUCGUGAGAUGUUGGGUUAAGUCCCGCAACGAGCGCAACCCUUGUUCACUGUUGCCAGCACGUUAUGGUGGGGACUCAGUGGAGACCGCCGGGGUCAACUCGGAGGAAGGUGGGGAUGACGUCAAGUCAUCAUGCCCCUUAUGUCCAGGGCUUCACGCAUGCCACAAUGGCUGGUACAGAGAGUGGCGAGCCUGUGAGGGUGAGCGAAUCUCGGAAAGCCGGUCUCAGUUCGGAUUGGGGUCUGCAACUCGACCUCAUGAAGUCGGAGUCGCUAGUAAUCGCAGAUCAGCAACGCUGCGGUGAAUACGUUCCCGGGGCU